rfam:Takifugu rubripes genomic scaffold, scaffold_8568
GCUUACGGCCAUACCACCCUGAGAACGCCCGAUCUCGUCUGAUUUCGGAAGCUAAGCAAGGUUGGGCCUGGUUAGUACUUGGAUGGGAGAAAGCUGGGGAACAAUCGUCUGUAUAAGAU